AUUGAACGCUGGCGGCAUGCUUUACACAUGCAAGUCGAACGGUAACAGGCCGCAAGGUGCUGACGAGUGGCGAACGGGUGAGUAAUGCAUCGGAACGUGCCCAGUCGUGGGGGAUAACGCAGCGAAAGCUGUGCUAAUACCGCAUACGAUCUAUGGAUGAAAGCGGGGGACCGUAAGGCCUCGCGCGAUUGGAGCGGCCGAUGUCAGAUUAGGUAGUUGGUGGGGUAAAGGCCCACCAAGCCAAUGAUCUGUAGCUGGUCUGAGAGGACGACCAGCCAAGCUGGGACUGAGACACGGCCCAGACUCCUACGGGAGGCAGCAGUGGGGAAUUUUGGACAAUGGGCGCAAGCCUGAUCCAGCAAUGCCGCGUGCAGGAAGAAGGCCUUCGGGUUGUAAACUGCUUUUGUACGGAACGAAACGGUCCGGGCUAAUACCCUGGGCUAAUGACGGUACCGUAAGAAUAAGCACCGGCUAACUACGUGCCAGCCGCCGCAGUAACAC
rnacentral:rRNA from 1 species